rnacentral:rRNA from 1 species
UAGGGAAUCUUCCGCAAUGGGCGAAAGCCUGACGGAGCAACGCCGCGUGAGUGAUGAAGGUCUUCGGAUUGUAAAACCCUGUUAUUAGGGAAGAACAAAUGUGUAAGUAACUAUGCACGUCUUGACGGUACCUAAUCAGAAAGCCACGGCUAACUACGUGCCAGCAGCCGCGGUAAUACGUAGGUGGCAAGCGUUAUCCGGAAUUAUUGGGCGUAAAGCGCGCGUAGGCGGUUUUUUAAGUCUGAUGUGAAAGCCCACGGCUCAACCGUGGAGGGUCAUUGGAAACUGGAAAACUUGAGUGCAGAAGAGGAAAGUGGAAUUCCAUGUGUAGCGGUGAAAUGCGCAGAGAUAUGGAGGAACACCAGUGGCGAAGGCGACUUUCUGGUCUGUAACUGACGCUGAUGUGCGAAAGCGUGGGGAUCAAACAGGAUUAGAUACCCUGGUAGUCCACGCCGUAAACGAUGAGUGCUAAGUGUUAGGGGGUUUCCGCCCCUUAGUGCUGCAGCUAACGCAUUAAGCACUCCGCCUGGGGAGUACGACCGCAAGGUUG